GGCCCAAAAUGAGCAACUGCCAUGUGAUGGAACAUCAUCUUCUGGAGCAGUCAUUAACUUGUGUGGCAUCUGUGUCUCAGGUUCUACUGGGAGACCUCCAGACACAGAUAUUGAUACAUGUGGCGUCUGUAAGGGUGGUAAUCGCUGCGUGGGUUGUGAUGGACAUCCAGGCUCCAAGCUAAAACUGGAUGGUUGUGGACAUUGCCUACCCACUGAUGAUAUAAAUUUUAACAAUUGCACAUAUAUCCUGUCUGUGUGGCCACCUGUUGUUGACCUACUUUUGGACAGGGAUGUGAAAUUGCAAUUGAUUGGUGCUGGACUAUCACACUCAGUACUGCCAGAUAUUAGCUGCAGUGUUUCAAGCAAUGUAAAUGACCAGGUAAAAUUACCAGUAGUGUUACAAGAAGUGGAGGAGGAUGUGAUUGAGCUGGAGGUGGAUGCUCGUGUUGCUGCUCCAGGUCUAUACAGUAUUAAGUGUGAAUCUAAUGGAAUUCCUGGAAAUUUAGUCAAUGGUUCUGCUGAACUUCUUGUUGCUGAUAGUAGCAGCCUGGGUAUUGAGAAAGUUGAACCCACAACUGUUAAGA